UCCUGCCUCCCUUUUUUUAUGGUAGCAUGCAUGAUCUAUCUCCUGACUCUUUUCCUUUCUUCAUCUUGUGAAUCAACAGAUCUAUGCAGUUUCCAUCACAAUCCAUAUAGUGCUUGGAUUUAUGCUCAUUGCAUUGAUCUGGCAAUACGAUUUCUCUCCCUUCACGGUUCUUAUCAUUGCCAUUCUCAAUGACGGUACUGUCAUGACCAUCUCUAAGGACAGAGUUAAGCCAUCUCCGUUGCCCGAUAGUUGGAAGCUGAAGGAGAUCUUUG